rnacentral:rRNA from 1 species
CAUUAAUGAGUUUUGAUUGGGGGUUGAUGCUGGCAGUCACUUCUUCUGGCUGCAUGUGCUUGCCCCUAAUAAUCUUUAUCCCAAACACCUGUGCAUGAUUUCGAGGGUUUCCGAGUUGAUUUUGCUGUCGUCUCGGAUCCCCUUGCUUUUCCCACUUUUUAUACACUGCUUGCAAUAUCGAAUGUGCUUUGUGCCGCAAGGCAUUUAACGCAAUAUACAACUUUUAACAACGGAUCUCUUGGCUCUCGCAUCGAUGAAGGACGCAGCGAAAUGCGAUAAGUAAUGUGAAUUGCAGAAUUCAGUGAAUCAUCGAAUCUUUGAACGCACCUUGCGCUCCCUGGUAUUCCGGGGAGCACGCCUGUUCGAGUGUCGUGAAAUUUCUCAAGCUGAGAUGUUUUUCUUAGUCUUGGUGUUGGGCUCUGCCGUGUCUCUUAUUGGGAUGGCUGGCCUUAAAAGCAUUAGCUGACUCUCAUGUGAAUAAAUUGGUUCUACUCGGCGUGAUUAAUGAUUUUGACCGCUGAGGACAUCUUUGGCGAUGGCCAGUUCUCAUUUGAGUUGCUUCUAAUCUUGGUUGUACGGAUUGUUAGUCUGUAUGCCUCGUUUUUCAGAUUUGACCUCGAAUCAGGUGGGACUACCCGCUGAACUUAAGCAUAUCAAUAAGCGG